rnacentral:lncRNA from 1 species
ACGUGCAACCACUUUUAGCGACGGAAGCAACUAUGGCGAACCAUUUCUCAAGGAAUGGCACAACGGUUAUUGAUGUGGAUGAUGACAAGCUGCUUCCAACACGUAGAAAGCCGGCCCGAAUACGCUUCAUUCAGGGCCUCCUCGCGCAUGGAGGUGUUGUUGAGCAUCAGGAGUAAGCAGCAACUGAAGAUGAGGCGGAUGAUUGAUAGGAGGGGAGGCAGUGCUGUUGGAGAACUUCACCUUUUCAGUAUAAAAGUAGUUAAAUAAUCUUCUGUGGAACAAAAAGACAUUGAGAAUUCUAGCUAAUUGGAUGAAACUUGAUUGUGCCUUAUAAUUGAAUGUUGUAUGGCGAUGGAAGAAGAACAAAAGAAAUCAUCGGUCGAUAUUUUGCUACUGCUCUGUUUUUUGUAAUACCACAUCGGUUACUUGUAGAAAAUAUAUCCAG